rnacentral:rRNA from 1 species
UACGUAGGGUGCAAGCGUUGUCCGGAAUUAUUGGGCGUAAAGAGCUCGUAGGCGGUUUGUCGCGUCUGCUGUGAAAACUCGGGGCUUAACCCCGGGCCUGCAGUGGGUACGGGCAGACUAGAGUGCGGUAGGGGAGACUGGAAUUCCUGGUGUAGCGGUGAAAUGCGUAGAUAUUGGGAGGAACACCAGUGGCGAAGGCGGCUCACUGGACCGGUACUGACGCUGAUGCGCGAAAGCGUGGGGAGCAAACGGG